AGCGAACGCUGGCGGCAGGCCUAACACAUGCAAGUCGAACGGAUCCUUCGGGAUUAGUGGCGGACGGGUGAGUAACACGUGGGAACGUGCCCUUUGGUUCGGAACAACUCAGGGAAACUUGAGCUAAUACCGGAUGUGCCCUUCGGGGGAAAGAUUUAUCGCCAUUGGAGCGGCCCGCGUCUGAUUAGCUAGUUGGUGAGGUAACGGCCCACCAAGGCGACGAUCAGUAGCUGGUCUGAGAGGAUGAUCAGCCACACUGGGACUGAGACACGGCCCAGACUCCUACGGGAGGCAGCAGUGGGGAGUCUUGCGCAAUGGGCGAAAGCCUGACGCAGCCAUGCCGCGUGAAUGAUGAAGGUCUUAGGAUUGUAAAAUUCUUUCAGCGGGGACGAUAAUGACGGUACCCGCAGAAGAAGCGCCGGCUAACUUCGUG
rnacentral:rRNA from 1 species